UACGUAGGGUGCGAGCGUUGCCCGGAUUUAUUGGGCGUAAAGGGCGCGUAGGCGGCUCGGCACGUCCGUUGUGAAAUCGCCCCGGCUCAACUGGGGCGGGGUCAGCGGAUACGGUCGAGCUUGAGCAAGCUAGGGGGCAAUGGAAUUCCCGGUGUAGUGGUGGAAUGCGUAGAUAUCGGGAGGAACACCAGUGGCGAAGGCGGGUCUCUGGGCCGAUACUGACGCUGAGGAGCGAAAGCCAGGGGAGCAAAGCGGG
rnacentral:rRNA from 1 species